rnacentral:rRNA from 1 species
UACGGAGGGGGCUAGCGUUGUUCGGAAUUACUGGGCGUAAAGCGCACGUAGGCGGCUUUGUAAGUUAGAGGUGAAAGCCCGGGGCUCAACUCCGGAAUUGCCUUUAAGACUGCAUCGCUAGAAUUGUGGAGAGGUAAGUGGAAUUCCGAGUGUAGAGGUGAAAUUCGUAGAUAUUGGGAAGAACACCGGUGGCGAAGGCGGCUCACUGGCUCGUAACUGACGCUCAGGCGCGACAGCGUGGGGAGUCGAAACAGG